CAAAAGUUUAUCUCAAUACUUUGUUAUAUACCCUUUGUUGGCAAUGACAGAGGUCAAACGUUUUCUGUAAGUCUUCACAAGGUUUUCACACACUGUUGCUGGUAUUUUGGCCCAUUCCUCCAUGCAGAUCUCCUCUAGAGCAGUGAUGUUUUGGGGCUGUUGCUGGGCAACACGGACUUUCAACUCCCUCCAAAGAUUUUCUAUGGGGUUGAGAUCUGGAGACUGGCUAGGCCACUCCAGGACCUUGACAUGCUUCUUACGAAGCCACUCCUUCGUUGCCCGGGCGGUCUGUCAUAGUUGAAGUGUACCUAUGAUGAAAAUUACAGGCCUCUCUCAUCAUUUAUGUGGGAGAACUUGCACAAUUGGUGGCUGAGUAAAUACUUUUUUGCCCCACUGUAUGUCUCUAUGUUUUAUUCUUAGGGGAUUGUUUUACUUCAUGCAGGUCCUUGAGGGAGAUGGAGGGAUAAAUAACUUUGUGUGGUGAUAUGUUACAGGUCCUUGAGGGAGAUGGAGGGAUAAAUAACUUUGUGUGGUGAUAUGUUACAGGUCCUUGAAGGAGAUGGAGGGAUAAAUAACUUUGUGUGGUGAUAUGUUACAGGUCCUUGAGGGAGAUGGAGGGAUAAAUAACUUUGUGUGGUGAUAUGUUACAGGUCCUUGAGGGAGAUGUAGGGAUAAAUAACUUUGUGUGGUGAUAUGUUACAGGUCCUUGAAGGAGAUGGAGGGAUAAAUAACUUUGUG
ensembl:lncRNA